rnacentral:rRNA from 1 species
GGGCGCGUAGGCGGUUUGGUAAGUCAGAUGUGAAAUUCACCGGCUCAACCGGUUGAACUGCAUCCGAUACUGCCAGACUUGAGACCAGUAGAGGAGAGUGGAAUUCCCAGUGUAGCGGUGGAAUGCGUAGAUAUUGGGAAGAACACCGGUGGCGAAGGCGACUCUCUGGACUGGUUCUGACGCUGAGGCGCGAAAGCUAGGGGAGCGAACAGGAUUAGAUACCCUGGUAGUCCUAGCCGUAAACGAUGAAUACUAGGUGUUGGGUGCUUCCAUGCACUCAGUGCCGAAGCUAACGCAUUAAGUAUUCCGCCUGGGGAGUACGGCCGCAAGGCUGAAACUCAAAGGAAUUGACGGGGGCCCGCACAAGCGGUGGAGCAUGUGGUUUAAUUCGAAGCAACGCGAAGAACCUUACCCGGAUUUGACAUAUAUGUGCAAUACCUAGAGA